rnacentral:rRNA from 1 species
GACGAACGCUGGCGGCGUGCUUAACACAUGCAAGUCGAACGUGAUUUUUGUGGAAAUUCUUUCGGGAAUGGAGAUGAAAUGAAAGUGGCGAAUGGGUGAGUAACACGUGAGCAACCUACCUUACACAGGGGGAUAGCCGUUGGAAACGACGAUUAAUACCGCAUGAGACCACAGAAUCGCAUGAUAUAGGGGUCAAAGAUUUAUCGGUGUAAGAAGGGCUCGCGUCUGAUUAGCUAGUUGGAAGGGUAAAGGCCUACCAAGGCGACGAUCAGUAGCCGGUCUGAGAGGAUGAACGGCCACAUUGGAACUGAGACACGGUCCAAACUCCUACGGGAGGCAGCAGUGGGGAAUAUUGCACAAUGGGGGGAACCCUGAUGCAGCGACGCCGCGUGAGCGAAGAAGGUUUUCGAAUCGUAAAGCUCUGUCCUAUGAGAAGAUAAUGACGGUAUCAUAGGAGGAAGCCCCGGCUAAAUACGUG